GAUGAACGCUAGCUACAGGCUUAACACAUGCAAGUCGAGGGGAAACGGCAUUAAGUGCUUGCACUUUUUGGACGUCGACCGGCGCACGGGUGAGUAACGCGUAUCCAACCUUCCCAUGACUAAGGGAUAACCUGCCGAAAGGCAGACUAAUACCUUAUGGUCUUCACUGACGGCAUCAGAUGUGAAGUAAAGAUUUAUCGGUUAUGGAUGGGGAUGCGUCUGAUUAGCUUGUUGGCGGGGUAACGGCCCACCAAGGCAACGAUCAGUAGGGGUUCUGAGAGGAAGGUCCCCCACAUUGGAACUGAGACACGGUCCAAACUCCUACGGGAGGCAGCAGUGAGGAAGAUUGGUCAAUGGGCGAGAGCCUGAACCAGCCAAGUAGCGUGCAGGAUGACGGCCCUAUGGGUUGUAAACUGCUUUUGUAUGGGGAUAAAGUCAAUCACGUGUGAUUGUUUGCAGGUACCAUACGAAUAAGGACCGGCUAAUUCCGUG
rnacentral:rRNA from 1 species